UUAAGCGACCAAGCGUACACGGUGGAUGCCCUGGCAGUCAGAGGCGAUGAAGGACGUGCUAAUCUGCGAAAAGCGCCGGUAAGGUGAUAUGAACCGUUAUAACCGGCGAUGUCCGAAUGGGGAAACCCAGUGUGACUCGUCACACUAUCAUUAACUGAAUCCAUAGGUUAAUGAGGCGAACCGGGGGAACUGAAACAUCUAAGUACCCCGAGGAAAAGAAAUCAACCGAGAUUCCCCCAGUAGCGGCGAGCGAACGGGGAGGAGCCCAGAGCCUGAAUCAGCAUAUGUGUUAGUGGAAGCGUCUGGAAAGGCGCGCGAUACAGGGUGACAGCCCCGUACACAAAAGCGCAUGUGCUGUGAGCUCGAUGAGUAGGGCGGGACACGUGGUAUCCUGUCUGAAUAUGGGGGGACCAUCCUCCAAGGCUAAAUACUCCUGACUGACCGAUAGUGAACCAGUACCGUGAGGGAAAGGCGAAAAGAACCCCGGCGAGGGGAGUGAAACAGAACCUGAAACCGUGUACGUACAAGCAGUGGGAGCAUGAGUUUACUCAUGUGACUGCGUACCUUUUGUAUAAUGGGUCAGCGACUUAUAUUCUGUAGCAAGGUUAACCGUAUAGGGGAGCCGGAGGGAAACCGAGUCUUAAUUGGGCGUUAAGUUGCAGGGUAUAGACCCGAAACCCGGUGAUCUAGCCAUGGGCAGGUUGAAGGUUGGGUAACACUAACUGGAGGACCGAACCGACUAAUGUUGAAAAAUUAGCGGAUGACCUGUGGCUGGGGGUGAAAGGCCAAUCAAACCGGGAGAUAGCUGGUUCUCCCCGAAAGCUAUUUAGGUAGCGCCUCGUGAAUUCAUCUCCGGGGGUAGAGCACUGUUUCGGCCAGGGGGCCAUCCCGGCUUACCAACCCGAUGCAAACUGCGAAUACCGGAGAAUGUUAUCACGGGAGACACACGGCGGGUGCUAACGUCCGUCGUGAAGAGGGAAACAACCCAGACCGCCAGCUAAGGUCCCAAAGUCAUGGUUAAGUGGGAAACGAUGUGGGAAGGCCCAGACAGCCAGGAUGUUGGCUUAGAAGCAGCCAUCAUUUAAAGAAAGCGUAAUAGCUCACUGGUCGAGUCGGCCUGCGCGGAAGAUGUAACGGGGCUAAACCAUGCACCGAAGCUGCGGCAGCGACACUAAGUGUUGUUGGGUAGGGGAGCGUUCUGUAAGCCUGCGAAGGUGGCCUGUGAGGGUUGCUGGAGGUAUCAGAAGUGCGAAUGCUGACAUAAGUAACGAUAAUGCGGGUGAAAAACCCGCACGCCGGAAGACCAAGGGUUCCUGUCCAACGUUAAUCGGGGCAGGGUGAGUCGACCCCUAAGGCGAGGCCGAAAGGCGUAGUCGAUGGGAAACGGGUUAAUAUUCCCGUACCUGGUGUUACUGCGAAGGGGGGACGGAGAAGGCUAUGUUGGCCGGGCGACGGUUGUCCCGGUUUAAGCGUGCAGGUGUGUGUUCCAGGUAAAUCCGGUUCACUUUAACACUGAGGCGUGACGACGAGGCACUACGGUGCUGAAGCAACAAAUGCCCUGCUUCCAGGAAAAGCCUCUAAGCCUCAGGUAACAUCAGAUCGUACCCGAAACCGACACAGGUGGUCAGGUAGAGAAUACCAAGGCGCUUGAGAGAACCCGGGUGAAGGAACUAGGCAAAAUGGUGCCGUAACUUCGGGAGAAGGCACGCUGACACGUAGGUGAAGCGGUUUACCCGUGGAGCUGAAGUCAGUCGAAGAUACCAGCUGGCUGCAACUGUUUAUUAAAAACACAGCACUGUGCAAACACGAAAGUGGACGUAUACGGUGUGACGCCUGCCCGGUGCCGGAAGGUUAAUUGAUGGGGUCAGCGCAAGCGAAGCUCCUGAUCGAAGCCCCGGUAAACGGCGGCCGUAACUAUAACGGUCCUAAGGUAGCGAAAUUCCUUGUCGGGUAAGUUCCGACCUGCACGAAUGGCGUAAUGAUGGCCAGGCUGUCUCCACCCGGGACUCAGUGAAAUUGAACUCGCUGUGAAGAUGCAGUGUACCCGCGGCAAGACGGAAAGACCCCGUGAACCUUUACUAUAGCUUGACACUGAACACUGGUCCUUGAUGUGCAGGAUAGGUGGGAGGCUUUGAAGUGUGGACGCCAGUCUGCAUGGAGCCGUCCUUGAAAUACCACCCUUUAAUGGCUGGUGUUCUAACGUAGACCCGUGAACCGGGUUGCGGACAGUGUCUGGUGGGUAGUUUGACUGGGGCGGUCUCCUCCUAAAGCGUAACGGAGGAGCACGAAGGUUGGCUAAUCCUGGUCGGACAUCAGGAGGUUAGUGCAAUGGCAUAAGCCAGCUUGACUGCGAGCGUGACGGCGCGAGCAGGUGCGAAAGCAGGUCAUAGUGAUCCGGUGGUUCUGAAUGGAAGGGCCAUCGCUCAACGGAUAAAAGGUACUCCGGGGAUAACAGGCUGAUACCGCCCAAGAGUUCAUAUCGACGGCGGUGUUUGGCACCUCGAUGUCGGCUCAUCACAUCCUGGGGCUGAAGUAGGUCCCAAGGGUAUGGCUGUUCGCCAUUUAAAGUGGUACGCGAGCUGGGUUUAGAACGUCGUGAGACAGUUCGGUCCCUAUCUGCCGUGGGCGCUGGAGAACUGAGGGGGGCUGCUCCUAGUACGAGAGGACCGGAGUGGACGCAUCACUGGUGUUCGGGUUGUCAUGCCAAUGGCACUGCCCGGUAGCUAAAUGCGGAAGAGAUAAGUGCUGAAAGCAUCUAAGCACGAAACUUGCCCCGAGAUGAGUUCUCCCUGAGACUACGAGUCUCCUGAAGGAACGUUGAAGACGACGACGUUGAUAGGCCGGGUGUGUAAGCGCAGCGAUGCGUUGAGCUAACCGGUACUAAUGAACCGUGAGGCUUAACCUU
rnacentral:rRNA from 1 species